GUCCUCAGGGUGGGGAGGGGCUGAGCCAUCACCCAGCACCAGGUUCCGGUGAGGACCAUAGCAACUCCUGUCCGCACUUUGCAUACUUACAUUAGUUUCCUGAAGAAUUCUCCCAUUGUGCCUUGCCCGACAUCUGAGAGCAGUGAGUGGUCUGCCUGGCAUUGAAAAGGAAAAAGUUUCUGGAAGACCCACCUGGGGCUAGAAGCCUUGAAGUUGCUGCCCUGUUCUCUAGCCACUUGGGAGGACAAGUGUCAUCGCAAUCCCUAAGGGAGGACAGAAGUCAUUCACGGCACUCUACAGAAGCCAGAAGAUGUGCUUAUAGGCGGUGUUGGGUGUUGUCUUGAGCCCACAGUGGGCCUAAGCUGUACUGGGGAUGUUCGAUGAAAGCAGAGAGAGAAAUAAAAGAUCAUGCAGGAACUUCCAUGAGGAUAGGAAGACAAGAAAGGUCAACACACAGCACGGCCAACAAGCAAGACAGUCUAAGAAUGAACAUGGUGACUUAAAAGAUGACAUGGGGGCUGCAGGGAGGGAGAAACAAACGGGGAGGGAAGCACAAGUCUUGUGAGUGUCUUUUUGGAGAGACAGGACUGAGAUGGGUCUCCAAGAUAAAUUUAGUUUUGGAUCAGGACAGGAAAAGAGAGAAAGGCCCUGAUCUGAGGGUAAGGACGAGAUGCACAAAGAGCAGCACAUUCUGUAACAUGUCAGUAGUGAGUAGAGCUUGCUCUGAAAUGAUCCUGCAUAAUAUUAAAAUCACCCUUGAUAAAAGAUGUGCAGCCAGUCUGGAAACGCCAACAGUGAUUGAGCAUAUAGGUGAUGGGGUUUGCAUGUUUGUUAAUUUAUCUGUUGUUUUUCUUUUUUAUCUUUCCACUAUGAAUAUGUAGUACUUGUGCAUUUAAAAAAUGUUAUAAAUCUGCAAGUUAACAAAUCUAAUGCAUUUCCCUUCAAUCUCAUCAUCCCAAGACUAGACCUUUUUCGGACAGUGGCUUGAAGACAGACAGGCUCUCCUAAGAGAUGGAAGCCCAGGGUGUUCAGCCCCCACUGUCUAAGGCCCCCCAACUCCAGGAGCCCCAUAUGUUCCUACCAGACCAUAGGCUUAACUGGAUGUAGGCCAGGGGUGGGGGAAUGUGCUCUGCUUGGCAUUGUAAGGUGCCAGGCGCACCUGAGCAGCUGGACAGGUGUGACAGAUGCCCUGGAUUGCAUGGAGCUGGCUGUGCCUGUGCACACACACCCGUCUGCACCCCGUCCUCCCCUCCCUACACCUCCCUGUCUUCCCGGCUAGCUCAGGUGUGGUGCAUCUGUGGCCCAUUGGCAGCUCUCUUGCCCGCAGUGCACAGGGAGCUGUCAGGUUAAAAGCUGGCUUGCUCGAUUUGAUCCCACAUGCGAGCUGUUUUAUUUCCCUCUCUCUCCCUUACACGGCUUCGGUGUGCUUUUAUAAAUAUUUCACUAGCCUUGCUAAAGUCUAUUUCAUCUCUCUCUUAAAUUUAUUAAAUAUAAAUGCAGCAACAA
ensembl:lncRNA novel transcript